rnacentral:piRNA from 1 species
UCCGCUGCAGACGUCUGAGGGUUUGA